rnacentral:misc_RNA from 1 species
AUAGCGCGUGUGCGGCGCGUGUAUACAAUUGUGGUACAGAAUGUUUCCGGCCGGUGGCAUGGUGAUCGGUGUUAUUUGACAGUCGGUCGAUUGAGGCGACAGUACAGAUUGUGGUGGGAUUGUUUGAAAUUAAAUACGCAAUCGCUCAUCCUUCACAUCUCGCUGAAGCAAAAAUAUAAAAAAAUAUUAUAAAUUACUGUAAAUCAGAAAUUAAUAGCUAAUUUACAUAACUUCAUCGAGGAAAAUCCAAAAACAAAUCAUUUUUUAUCCCAAAAUCAUUAAAGAAAGACCAUAAUCCAAUUAGGUCCGUUUUAGGGUUGCCAUACAGACACUUCUAUUCUGACAUGUUUACAUAUUUCAAAAAGAUACAACUGACUUCUGUGACAGUGGUAUUUAUACCGCCAGUUUUAAUUUCUUCGUAAUUUAACAGUCUUAGUACAAAAUCAAGAGGAGAAUCGAAGAUAUUUUGUAAUGGAUGAAUAUUUGGAGAUGAAUUUGCUUUGACCAAAUUAUUGCGCGAUUCAAUUUAAUUACACUUGUGAAAUGGAUAAAGGAGUAAUCUUUCCUGAUGCGUUCCAGUUUUCGCUCGUUGAUAAUUCACCCCACAAACACUCCAUUCAGCAAUUUUGAAGAAUAAUAAUAGACAAAGCUGCACUGCAACCAUAAGGAACCCCUACCCGUUUAUUGGUUAUACAUAGUAUACCUAUUAACUAUAGUAUAUCGAUCAACCCUAUAACCAACAGAAACUUUAAGAUGA